rnacentral:lncRNA from 1 species
GAUAUUAAAAUGGUACCCCUGUGACUCCUCGUUGCCUCACUAGAGAUGCAUAAUAUUCUUAGCUAACAGAAGGAGGAAACAUGUCAGCUAAACAAAGGGGAUAAAUAUGGCCUUUUGAAGAGCAGCCAUGGCAGAGUGCUAUAUAGGACUAUGGAGAAUUAUCAACAGGCUUUUGCUUUAGCAAAUGUCAUGCUACCAGAAGAAUGGUGCAGUUUGCGGAUGAGCUGUGGUCUUAGCAAACUGGAAGGAGAAGGGCAUGAAGUCAGAGAGUGGCUGUGGAUGUAUUUUCAAAACAGCUAUGGAGACAGGCAGCACCUAUUCAGCAGGAUGGUCCUUGCAUAUGGCUGGCGUAUGGACAUCAUGUGUCUCUUGAAUUUCCCGACCCGAGGUGUUAAACCAGUGCAGCUCAGUGCUAUGGCAUGUGGUCUUACUGGUAAGUAGGGGAUUUCUGCACUGUGCCCUUUGUAGACAUGUCAUAAGUGUCUUAGCUAAGAUCAUAUGGGUAGCGUGUGAUUGGAAGGAAAAUUAAACACAGGCUUAACCUUUGGUGAUAAUCACAAAACAUUCCUUGCUGUUGUUGACUUUAGUGAGAGCUGCAAAGUGUUUGUGUGUGGGAGAUAAUUAAGUCCCUAAUGUUUAUAAAAUAUCCAAUCUGUUUUAUAUAAAAAGGUUUCUUUGAUGACCAAGUCAGACAUAAAGAGGUUGUCUCAUUAUUUUUCAUUUUAUUAUUAUCAACUUCUCUUUACCAAUUUCUUUUUCAUUUUUUCCUGUGCCUCUCUUUUCUUUAUCAUAGGCUGCUUGCAUGGGCUUAGCCAUAAAAUCAUCUCUCUGUGAAAGAAACAUCCUUCUAUUUAUUGUGUCUAUUUUUUAUGAUGACUUUUACUUUGAAUUUAUUUAACAAUACUCUACUUCUUUCCUUUCACUACAUUGUAACUGCUCCUUCCUGUGUCAUUUGGAACUGGCCAAAGUUGGCAGAUCUCAAAUUUCUUUUUCCUCUUUGAAAUGUGCAGAUUCUUUCUCCUUCAGUGAUAAUGGGCAUUGUGUUUCCUUAGAAAUAUUUUUGGGGGCCUAUUAUUUCUCAGCCACUUCAGUUGGCAAACUGAAGGCUUGGAAACAAAUUAGCUUGGAUGGCAGCCCAAGCUGUCAAAAUGAGCCUUCCAUUCAUUACUGAAUCAUCCACCUCCUGCAUUUAGAUCUUCAGUCCCACUUUUCCAGUAAGCUUCUCAGUUGAGUUCUUGGAAUUCUUUUUUUCUGUCACUUUUGAACUCACUACUCCAGUCUACUUCACUUACGACCACACAGCAAAGCUACUUCCCCAUUAUCUGGAAGUAAUGAACUAAUAAUGCCAGUAUAGAGGGCACAGCUGGGCAUCAUUUUUGGUAGAAGACAUUAAAAUUAUAUUUUCCUCACAUAUUAUUUCUCUAUGAGUUCCCUGAGUCUGAGGCCUUGAUCACUUUGUCAGGCAAGAAAUUCCAGGUAGGAAAACUGAUUCCUACAUGGUUAUUGUUAAAAUCUUAUUAUUAGUCUUGCUCUAAAAAGUUCUGGGGAUGAGGUAGGAAGAUCUGACAUCCUUUAGAUAGUUAUGUUCCUUAAGUAUUCUCCCCCACUUUUCUGUGUUUUUUAUUUUUGGUGUUUUUCUGCUUUUUUUCUCCUUUUUAUCAACAAAUAUUUUUUCAGAAGAAUAAAUCUCUUGGAAAUAUCA